rnacentral:rRNA from 1 species
CACGUAGGGCGCGAGCGUUGUCCGGAAUUAUUGGGCGUAAAGAGCUCGUAGGCGGCCUGUUGCGUCCGCUGUGAAAGCCCGGGGCUUAACCCCCGGGGUCGCAGUGGAUACGGGCAGGCUAGAGGUAGGUAGGGGAGAAUGGAAUUCCCGGUGUAGCGGUGAAAUGCGCAGAUAUCGGGAGGAACACCGGUGGCGAAGGCGGUUCUCUGGGCCUUACCUGACGCUGAGGAGCGAAAGCGUGGGGAGCGAACAGG